AGUGAACGCUGGCGGUAGGCCUAACACAUGCAAGUCGAACGGCAGCACAUUAAGAGCUUGCUCUUACGGGUGGCGAGUGGCGGACGGGUGAUGAAUACAUCGGAAUCUACUUUUUCGUGGGGUAUAACUUAUGGAAACUUACGCUAAUACCUCAUACGACCUACGGGUGAAAGCAGGGGAUCUUCGGACCUUGCGCGAUUGAAUGAGCCGAUGUCGGAUUAGCUAGUUGGCGGGGUAAAGGCCCACCAAGGCGACGAUCCGUAGCUGGUCUGAGAGGAUGAUCAGCCACACUGGAACUGAGACACGGUACAGACUCCUACGGGAGGCAGCAGUGGGGAAUAUUGGACAAUGGGCGCAAGCCUGAUCCAGCAAUACCGCGUGGGUGAAGAAGGACUUAGGGUUGUAAAGCCCUUUUGUUGGGAAAGAAAAGAAGCAGGUUAAUACCCCGCUGUUCUGACGGUACCCAAAGAAUAAGCACCGGCUAACUUCGUG
rnacentral:rRNA from 1 species